GACGAACGCUGGCGGCGUGCCUAAUACAUGCAAGUAGAACGCAGUUGCGAACGGGUGAGUAACGCGUAGGUAACUGCCUGGUAGCGGGGGCUAACUAUUGGAAACGAUAGCUAAUACCGCAUACUACCAGAUGGACCUGCGUUGUAUUAGCUAGUUGGUGGGGUAACGGCUCACCAAGGCAACGAUACAUAGCCGACCUGGGAGGGGGAUCGGACACACUGGGAAUGGGAACAGUCCCAGACUGCUACGGCAGGCAGCAGGAGGGAAUCUUCGGCAAUGGACGGAAGUCUGACCGAGCAACGCCGCGUGAGUGAAGUAGGUUUUCGGAUCGUAAAGCUCUGGUGUAAGAGAAGCGGUAUCUUACCAGAAAGGGACGGCUAACUUCGUGCCAGCAGCCGCGGUAAUUC
rnacentral:rRNA from 1 species